CCAUGCCGCGUGGGUGAAGAAGGCCUUCGGGUUGUAAAGCCCUUUUGUUGGGAAAGAAAAGCAGUCGGUUAAUACCCGAUUGUUCUGACGGUACCCAAAGAAUAAGCACCGGCUAACUUCGUGCCAGCAGCCGCGGUAAUACGAAGGGUGCAAGCGUUACUCGGAAUUACUGGGCGUAAAGCGUGCGUAGGUGGUGGUUUAAGUCUGUUGUGAAAGCCCUGGGCUCAACCUGGGAAUUGCAGUGGAUACUGGGUCACUAGAGUGUGGUAGAGGGUAGCGGAAUUCCCGGUGUAGCAGUGAAAUGCGUAGAGAUCGGGAGGAACAUCCGUGGCGAAGGCGGCUACCUGGACCAACACUGACACUGAGGCACGAAAGCGUGGGGAGCAAACAGGAUUAGAUACCCUGGUAGUCCACGCCCUAAACGAUGCGAACUGGAUGUUGGGUGCAAUUUGGCACGCAGUAUCGAAGCUAACGCGUUAAGUUCGCCGCCUGGGGAGUACGGUCGCAAGACUGAAACUCAAAGGAAUUGACGGGGGCCCGCACAAGCGGUGGAGUAUGUGGUUUAAUUCGAUGCAACGCGAAGAACCUUACCUGGUCUUGACAUCCACGGAACUUUCCAGAGAUGGAUUGGUGCCUUCGGGAACCGUGAG
rnacentral:rRNA from 1 species